rnacentral:rRNA from 1 species
GAUGAACGCUAGCGGCAGGCUUAAUACAUGCAAGUCGAGGGGCAGCACGGGUAGCAAUACCUGGUGGCGACCGGCGCACGGGUGCGUAACACGUAUGUAAUCUACCUAUAACUGGGGCAUAGCUCAGUGAAAUCUGGAUUAAUUACCAAUAACAUAAUGAAGAGGCAUCUUUUUCUUAUUAAAGCUCCGGCGGUUAUAGAUGAACAUGCGAGACAUUAGCUAGUUGGUAAGGUAACGGCUUACCAAGGCAACGAUGUCUAGGGGUUCUGAGAGGAUGAUCCCCCACACUGGUACUGAGACACGGACCAGACUCCUACGGGAGGCAGCAGUAGGGAAUAUUGGGCAAUGGGCGCAAGCCUGACUCAGCCAUGCCGCGUGCAGGAUGACGGCCUUAUGGGUUGUAAACUGCUUUUAUACGGGAAAAAACCUUCGGACGUGUCCGGAGCUGAUGGUACCGUAAGAAUAAGCAUCGGCUAACUCCGUGCCAGCCGCCGCUGUAAGAC